GUGUUGAUGUGUGAGAGUGUGUGUGCAUGUCACUGUGGAGAGGUGGCUCCAGGCUUCCUGGUGUGCCCAGGGGUGGCCACAGUAGGGAGGCUGCACUCAGGCCCUGCCUGGACUCCUGCUCUCCCCUCGUGGCCCAGCCUUGUGUUACUGCAAGUGACUGGAGGAGGCCAGGGGGUUGGAGGACGUGUCCAGGUCCUAUGUCACAGGCCAGGGGAACAUCCACACACCUGCGCCCCUGGCUGAGCUGUGUUGUCAGGGACCCUCAGCACUUGGGAAGGUGUGAGGAGGCCAAGAGGCCAGGUCCUAGGAAGGCUUGAAGCGGACCCUUCAUCUGCCCAGGGGAUCCAUUUGUGGGGUCAAGGGAGGUCCUCCAGCCAGGCCACCCCGACCCCGGCCAGAGCAUCCUCCUCACCCCUGGGUUCCCACUCAACUGCCCACUGGCUCACGUCCCUACCUGUCCCCGGUUCUUGCCGCUCCCUGUCCUGGGAGGCAGGUUGGGAUCUGGCCUUACUUCCAGUAAAAUGACUUCUCUUUCAUAUUAGGCCAAGGCGAGAGAGCGGAGACAUUUAUGAAACUUUGUUUAAUGUACUGAAAAGCCAUCGGCCAGAACAUUUAGGAAAUUGAUUUUCCUGGCAUUGAUGAACUCAUUUUAUUUUACCCCAGUAUUAAUUACUUUUUUUUAAAACAAAUUAAUUUAAGAGUCGUAAAACCUAACAAGUGAGCCAAACGUCCACAGAUCAUGUCCUGCUCCGCCCCUCCCCACAUUGACCCCCUCCCUCUAUGGGUGGGGGCCCCCGGUGGGGGGAUCUCCUGUCCCUCCCACUCCCUCCCAGAGGUGAUGCGCCCCCCUCCUCCUCUGCAGGAGAGGCCUCCUCGCUGCGGGACUACGCGGCCUCCACCAUGACCGAGUUCCUCGGCAUGUUUGGCUACGACGACCAGAACACGCGGGACGAGCUGGCCAGGAAGAUCAGCUUUGAGAAGCUGCACGCGGGCUCCACCCCGGAGGCAGCCACCUCCUCCAUGCUGCCCACCUCCGAGGAUACCCUCAGCAAGCGGGCGCGGUUCUCUAAGUAUGAGGAGUACAUCCGCAAGCUCAAGGCUGGCGAGCAGCUCUCCUGGCCGGCCCCCAGCACCAAGACCGAGGAGCGGGUGGGCAAGGAGGUGGUGGGCCCCCUGCCCGGCCUGCGGCUGCCCAGCAGCACGGCCCACCUGGAGACCAAGGCCACCAUCCUGCCCCUGCCGUCGCACAGCAGCGUCCAGAUGCAGAACCUGGUGGCCCGGGCCUCCAAGUACGACUUCUUCAUCCAAAAACUGAAGACCGGCGAGAAUCUGCGGCCCCAGAACGGGAGCACCUACAAGAAGCCAUCCAAGUACGACCUGGAGAAUGUCAAGUACCUGCACCUCUUCAAACCCGGGGAGGGCAGCCCCGACAUGGGCGGGGCCAUCGCCUUCAAGACGGGCAAGGUGGGGCGCCCCUCCAAGUACGACGUCCGGGGCAUCCAGAAGCCAGGCCCCGCCAAGGUUCCGCCCACCCCCAGCCUGGCUCCCGCACCCCUCGCCAGCGUGCCCAGUGCCCCCAGCGCCCCCGGGCCAGGGCCAGAGCCUCCUGCCUCCCUGUCCUUCAACACUCCCGAGUACCUGAAGUCAACCUUCUCCAAAACAGACUCCAUCACCACGGGGACCGUCUCCACUGUCAAGAACGGACUGCCCACAGAUAAACCAGCCGUCACUGAAGAUGUAAACAUUUACCAGAAAUAUAUUGCCAGGUAGGCCCCUGGGGAGGAGCCUGCCGUGGAGAGAAGGUGGGGGGCCAGGACUGACCGGGCACUCUGAGGCCAUUCGUUUGACAUCUGACCUCUAGGGCCAAGGUAGCUACCUCCUCCCAUCCCCAUCCACUUCGGUCCCUCCACCGUACCAAGGGCUGCCCUGCACGCCCGUCUCAGAGCCUCCCUCCGCUCUGUGUCCAGGCCACACAUUCCCUCAGCAGCCUGUGCCCCCAGGUAGGGCCGGGGUCCCAACGCAGGGCCUGGCCACAGGUGAGUGCAGCUCCCCUAGCUUGCCUGGGUCCUGCUGUCACACAUAGCCUUGGGUAGGGUGCAGGCCACCGUGAAACUGUCAGGGUUGGGAAGGGAGAGGCAGGCCGGGUGCAGUGGCUCAUGCCUGUAAUCCCAGCACUGUGGGAGGCCAAGAUGGGAGGAUCACUUGAGGCCAGGAGUUCGAGAUCAUCCUGGGCAACAGAGUGAGACCCUAUCUCUUUAAAAAAA
rnacentral:sRNA from 1 species